UACCUCUGGGUUUCUCUUCCAAAUCGUACAAAUCUUUCGCGUUUUACUAAAGAUUCCGUGGAAGGAACAGUUAUGAGGCUUGCAUCAAUUUUUGAGGUUUGUGUUUCACAAGG
rnacentral:snRNA from 1 species